rnacentral:lncRNA from 1 species
CGGACAGGGCCAAACAGGCAGGAUAUAACCCCACCCACUUUGCCAAAGCACAGCCCCCACACCACUAGAGGGAUGUCUCCAACCACCAACUUACCAUCCUAAGACAAGGCCGAGUAUAGCCCACAACGAUCUCCGCCAUGGCACAACCCAAGGGGGGGGGCGCCAACCCAGACAGGAAGACCACGUCAGUGACUCAACCGACUCAAGUGACGCACCCCUCCCAUGGACGGCAUGGAAGAACACCAGUAGGCCAGUGACUCAGCCCCUGUAAAAGGGUUAGAGGCAGAGAAUCCCAGUGGAAAGAGGGGAACCGGCAAGGCAGAGACAGCAAGGGCGGUUCGUUGCUCCAGCCUUUCCGUUCACCUUCACACUCCUGGGCCAGAGAAAACAUUCAUCAACGAGCAUUUUAUAGCAAAGUCCAUCCUCCUGGAUGUUCAUGACAAACAGAAGUAUGGAAUGGGUCACAAGGUUACUAAUAAUUCACAGCAAACAGUAUCUGCUGUAAAUACUGUCCUCAUUGUGUAGAGACCAGGGUUUGGCACCGAGCCAUAUCUCCAUUGUACCUUAAAGAACAGAAACAACAACUCAUGCUAUGGAAAGCGGUCUUGUUAGGUUUAUCACCCAAAGCAUCGUAAAUAUUCUGUCAGUGUUAAAUCUCCCAGAGGCACAUCCUCAGUAGAACACACACAGAUGAAAGUGUUCUAAGAACCCACUAUUCUGUUGCAAAAAACAAUUUGAUGCAAUAACAGCAUUAUAACAAUCUUGUAAUUUCCCCACCAUACAGAACACUUUGUUGUUGUAUAGUUGAUAGUCUGUAGCAGCAAUCAACAGUAUACAUUGUAUUCGGAAUGUAUUCAGACUUUUUAGACAUUUGGUUAAAAAAAAUAUUUAAAAAAAUAAAACUAAAAACAGGUUUAUAGAAAGUUUUGCAAAUGUAUUAAAAAUACAAAUAAACUGAAAUACCUUAUUUACAUAAGUAUUCAGAUACUUUGCUAUGAGACUCUAAAUUGAGCUCAGGUGCAUCCUGUUUCCAUUGAUCAUCCUUGAGAUGUUUCUACAACUUGGAGUCCACCUGUGUUAAAUUCAAUUGAUUGGAUAUGAUUUGGAAAGGCACACACCUCUCUAUAUAAGAUCCCACAGUUGACAGUGCAUGUCAGAGCAAAAACCAAGCCAUGAGGUCGAAGGAAUUGUCCGUAGAGCUCCGAGACAGGAUUGUGUCGACGCACAGAUCUGGGGAAUGGUACCAAAGAACUUCUGCGGCAUUGAAGGUCACCAAGAAGUGACUCUGGCCGGGCAGCCAGCUCUUGGAAAACUGAGCAAUCGGGGAAGAAGGGCUUUGGUCAGGGAGGUGACCAAGAAGCCGAUGGUCACUCCGACAGAGUUCCAGAGUUCCUCUGUGGAGCUGGGAGAACCUUCCAAAAGGACAACCAUCUCGGCAGCACUCCACCAAAUCAGGCCUUUAUGGUAGAGAGGUCAGACGGAAGCCACUCCUUAGUAAAAGGCACAUGACAGCCCGCUAAGAGUUUGCCAAAAUACACCUAAAGGAAUCUCACAACAUGAGAAACAAGAUUCCCUGGUCUGAUGAAACCAAGAUUGAAUUCCAAUUUUAGAAUAUAACAAAAUGUGGAUAAAGUGAAGGGGUCUGAAUACUUUCCGAAUGCACUUUAAAUCUCUCCAGUGCUAUAUUUGUAUUUUUUUUCAAAAGCUCUCAGCUGUGCCAGCCUGUCAGGGACGAAGGCAUCUAAAGCAGGGCAGGCUAUAAGACACUUACCAGUGAAUUGAAAUCACUAUCCACAAACUUCUCCCUCCAUAGGAGAAAAAGGUCAACACAGGACACAACAGAUCCAGAACAUCAUCAUCUGAGUGUCUUAGCAUGUCAUAUGAAGGUAUUUUGUCCAUCCAAAGUUUGAAGCAGGUUGAGAACCCAUGGAAAGGCAUUACUCUAAACCGUUGCAUAGUGUUGGCCAUCAUCAUUGUGCUUGUGAGCUCAGGGGUGAAUGAAGUACAUGAUGCUCUGGAAGUAUUUCUAGAGGAGAAUGAUGUUACUUGGAGGCACAGAUCCACAGCCAGAUGGCACAGCUCAGCUCUCUGGCCAUCCAGAUUGUGUGUAGUCAGACUUCUGACCCGUUUUUGUGAUGUCAGCUGAGUUGCAACGUGACAUCAAUAAGGGAUCAUCGCUUUGCCAUGGAUUCACCAGGUCAGUCUCAUGGAAAGAGCAUUAGGUGUUCCUAAUGUUUUGUAUAAAUAGUGUAUUUUCUGUGUCCUUCUCAUUUGUUAUUCAGUGUGUUAGUUAUAAGUGCUCUGCUUUGGAACCUUUUGUUGCGUGCCUGGUGUUUCCUCUUCUCGCCCUCCAGCCUCUCUGUGGGACAGCUUGCCGAGUUGGGGAUCAGACCAUGGAACAAAAGGAAAACCAAAGAGAAGAGGGGGAGUCUUGAAGAUCAGAAAUAGAGAUGUGUCUAAGGGCUGUGAAGAAAUGAUAGAGAGCAUUAUGGAGAAUGGUAAAGAGGCUAAUACAACAAAUAGGCUGACAUUUUCAGAAAGAAUAAUCAAAUAAUGUCAGUUUGCCCGGUGUUUAUUCUAUCAAAAAUACGUUUUAUUUAUUUAUUUAUAUAUAUAUAUAUAUAGCCCGUAAGUAAGCAUUUUGCUGUAAAGUCUACCCCUGUUUAUAUUUGGCGCAUGUGAC